CUUUGUGUACAACUAUUUAACAAGUUAUGACCAACAACAACCCAGCAAUCCACUCUGCCUCUUGGGUCCUAGCAUUUUUUUUUUUUUUUUCGGAGCUGGGGACCGAACCCAGGAUCUUCCCCUUGCUAGGCAAGCGCUCUACCACUGAGCCAAAUCCCCAACCCCGGGUCCUAGCAUUUGUAUACCUUUUUAAAAAUCCCCAGAUCUCCAAGCAUUACACAUUCACAGAAACCAUCUGCAGUUGGCAAAAUCAUGCCUCUGCUAGAGCAUGGAGCAGGUCAUAGUCAGCUGCUAUAGACAGUCUGAAGCGGCCCCAUCUCCCACAGCUGGGAUUAAAACAAAAACAUAGUCUUAAAACCAAAAUCCCCAAAUUCUGACUACAGCUCAGCCUUUAAGAGUAUUGGCUGCUCUUUCAGAGGACCAGAGUUCAAUUCCCAGAACUAACAUGGCUGCUCACAAACCUUCUAUAACUUCAGCUGCAGGGGAUCUGAUGGCCUCUCCUGGCCUCUUCGGACACCUGGUACACGUGUGAUGGUACAUGUCCACACACGCGGGCCAUACACCCAUACGUGUAAAAUACAAUUUUAAAAAAUCCUUUAAAAUUCAUAAAAACAAGUCAUAAUCUCAAUAGUCACAGGAGAGGUGACCUAAAUAUCCACCAGCGGGUAGCUGGGUAACAGAUGUGGACCUUAUACUUAAGAAUACUAUAAAGAUAUAGACGAGGAAAGUGGUUCUUACACUGAUGACCCUGGCAGACAUGAUUCGGACAGGAAGAAGCCUGACAUAAACCAGUUGCCCCCAGAAAGGCACAAAGUGGGCUCUGGGUGGCUGGAGUUUGGGGAGAGGAAUGAGAGUGUUAAUGGGGUUGGGAGACUUGGAAACUAGUAAAGGUAAUGGUUCUUUCUAUCCAUUUAGAAUUGCAGUUUGGAUUUGAAUGGAGAUGAGUCCAGCGACAGACUGCUUGCAUAUGAGCAGGCCUGGUUCCAUUCCCAAAAUUUAAUCACAGGAGGCAGAAGGCCCAGCCCAAGGUCAUCCAUCCUAAAGUUGUAGGCUAGCCUGGGGCACUAGGGACAGUAUUUCAUAAAACGCAAUGUGCACGAGUACACCUCCACAGUAAAUAAGUACAAAGGGCUUGUACUGAAGCUGGGGAACUGAUUCCAGACCUUGUAUAUGCACUGUCUUGGAUUCUUUGUUUUGUGUUUUGAGGAUGGAAUCCGGGCUUCAGCACCUCCCUCAGCAGCACUGCUGGCUUCCGAAUCUAGGGCGUUUAUUGAUUUAGUGACUUUUCUCAUAACGCUUUGGAGGCAGGCAGUUUUUUCUUUUACUCAUUCAGCGUUCCCCUCAGUAAUAGCGUGGCUGCGAGGUCCCACGGAAUCUUUUUUUUUUCUUUCUUUCUUUCUUUUUUCUUUUUUUUUUUCCGGAGCUGGGGACCGAACCCAGGGCCUUGCGCUUGCUAGGCAAGUGCUCUACCGCUGAGCUAAAUCCCCAACCCCAGGUCCCACGGAAUCUUAAGUAUAGCUCUUAGCUAUAGAGCUAAGAAUGACCUUAAACUUCCGGGGGGCCACCACAUCCACCCUAUUUAAUUCUGCUUUAUUAUGAGACAGGCUCACAGUGUAGCCCAGGCUGGACUUGAAUUUAUUAAUCCUCCUGCUUCAGCUUCUCAAGUGUUGGGAGCGCGGGCUGUGAUUGCGAGUUUUUCACGUAGCUCAAACACCCCUAAGAGAAUGUGUACACGUGUUGAGGACUUGGUUUCAGCCCUCACCCUACAGUGACUGCGGCACCGGAAGUCCUGGUAUGGGUUGGACAAGGGAAGGAAGGGCCCCGCCGUUCCUGGGACAGGAUGUACACCGAGGCCCCCUCCCUAGCCACCAGGGACUUCCCAGGCCUGGCCAUGUUUCUGUGUAUCCAAGUCCCCAUGAGAACUCGAGGGUCUAGACAAAGUGGGCAGCAGCGCUAGGGAUCCUCCACGUUUUAAAUGAGGAAUCAGUUCUGGUAGAGGCUUUGCAGUGUCUCCCGGUACCGUGGAACCCUUACUUUCUAGGGGGAGGGAGAAGCUGGGAGCUGGGACUUUCUAGGCGUUAUCCCCUCCCCUCCAGCCCUCGCCCUGGGGUCAAGAGAGGCCGGAGGAGGCGGGGACAGCUGUCGGGCGCUUUCCUUGAGCUUCCCGCACCUGCGGUUCCUUUGUCCUUAGGGCCUCCAGCUCCCUCCUAACCCUCGUCCCCAGGUUAUGCCUAAUGCGUGUGGAAACCAAACUGAAGGAAAAUCUGUUCCGAUAACGCGCAAGUGGAUGGGAAACUAGGCUGGCUUCUCGGAGAUCCGCGCGAGCGCCUCUGCUUUCCUCUUGCUGGGUUUAAAAAGCGCGCAGCACCCUGCCCAGCUUUAAAAAAGCAUUAGGGACUUGCUGUGUUUCUUGAACUGGUCUACACACUAUAAACUCCGUUGAAUUAAACAUGAACCACCAGCGUUAACAUUGUUAAAAACUAUGUGCUCUGGGGAAGAGGUUUAUAGGCUCAUUUAUUUCUCUUUCUUUUUUUUUACCAGACAGGGGAGACAGGGUUUCUCUGUGUAGCCCUGGUUGUCCUGGAACCUGUUCUGUAGAACAGGUUGGCCUCGAUCUCAGAGAUUCGUCUACGUCUACCUCCUCAGUGGGUUAGACCCAUAGAGGGUUUAGCUACUAUGCCCGUCGUAGGCCCAUUUCAUAGAUAGGUAACUUAAGUUACCUCUUACUUAUCCGCCUGAGCCAUACUAAAGAAAUCGUGUCAGGGACUGAAAGCAGGUUCAAAGUUCAGUCACCGCCACUCCACCCGUGGGGGCCCCACAUAAUUCCGGUCGAAGGGAGGGCACGAAGAUAAACACCCAUUUAAAAUUCCUCAGCUCGUCUUAAAACACUGCACCGAUAUCCCCCAAUUGUUGUAAACUAAGCUCUCCCCAGAGUUUGUUAAUUUCUAAGGAACCCCCCAAUCACAGGGUUAGCUUAAGCAACAGCAGGUAAACUGUGGCAAAGAAAUGGGGCCCGGCCUCCCUCUGGCUCCACACCCAGUCAAACCAGUUCCCGAGGCUUAGGGAGCGGCUGCCAGCCCUGACCCCUUAACCUCACCCCUCCCCCACCAGGGAAGCAAGCCAGACAAGCAGCGCGUUUUACACCGAUGGACUUUUAUUUUCCUAGCUGACAUUGUAAAACUCCAGGUAGUUGGGAGUUAAACACAACCCACCGUGGGAAAAGUAAACAGACUUUCUUAAAUUCGCUGGUAAAAAAUUCUAUCUUGCCCGAAGAGGUCGUGUCUAAGACAGCAAAUGAGACCACCCACCCACCCUUUCCGCGGUAGUCCACGCCAGGCGAUCAGUCUAGGCUGACCAGUCCCGGGGUCUCCAGCCACUUCAAUCAACUCUGAUCGCAGCAAGAUUUGAUUUGUUCAGUUCUGGAUCUCAGCCGAAGGCCGGCUCGCCCACAGCAGCCUGUGGGGGCGAGGUGACUCAAGUCACUUCCCAGUCCCUAGGGCGGGUCCACACCCUGGCCUCCUCCCAGGCCCCACACCCACGCAAGGCAACAGGAAGCACCCGCGUCUGUCCCAUGACGCAACUCUGACCGCUUGCACAAGCGUGCCCACUUGUAGGGGCCGAAACGCGAAUGCUAGUGAAACGGCCUUGAAAGGGCAGCCUGGGCCCUAGAGAGUCCGACCCUGAGAUUCAAGAUCCAGGUGUCCCUUCUCCAAACCAAGGAAGGGACAGUCCUUUAAUAGCACCUGUGGACGUACGUCUGGGAGAAGGCGCCCGCGCCCCUAGCUCCUAGCUCCUCAGUCCUUCCCCUGGCCUCUCGGCAGCUCGGGCCGCGGCUCUUCUUUACGGCCCCCCGCCGGCCUUCGCCUCGGGUGUGCGUUCUCCGCUCCGGUGGCGCCGCUCGUAAUCCUCAGAAGGCCACCACGGUUCGCACCAGCACGUUGAGCAUAUUGUCGGCCGGGCGGCAGGCUGGCUUGGCCUCGCACGUGGGGGGCGUCGGCGGGGGCACGGCGGGCCCACAGUUCAAGAGACUGGAGAAGCGCCUUUGGAGGACGCGGGCGAGGUUAGGGAAGGCACCUUCGGUUUGUGCGGGAGGAAGCUGCAGGCGAUUGGAGACCUCCGACGUCGCCUCCCCCUCCACCUCUUCCAGACGGGCCUUCUUGCUUGGUACCAGUCCGGCAUCACUACCGUCGCUCAAGUCGCUGCUACUCCGGCGCUUGCGGCUGACUCUAGCGGGGGGCGGGUCACAGAGCGCGGGGGUCUCCUGGACUCGCAGCACUUCCUCUUGCGUGUCCAUGGGCUCCGGAGGCUGCUCGACGUCAGGGGUCGCUGCUUCCAUUGCAGCUUCGGGUUCUCGCGGCGGGUGCAGGCGAGGGUCAAGGGCCCUGCGGGAUGGCGGGAACUCGGGCUGGUGGGUUUCUACCUUGGCUGAGAGGUAGAGCUCCCGAGCGCUGCGCAUAACGAGGGACAGCUGCAGACUCCGGUGGAGGCGCAAGCCACCGCGCUGCAUGCGAGAGUGGUACAUCUUCCACACGGACAGUGUCAUGAUGCGCUGCGCUUCUUUCUGUACUUCCAUGCUUGUUCGACGACUGUGUAGAGUUAAGCCGACAAUGGAUUAAGACCGGCGUUGCUGCCUAGACGACUCACUUACAGUUGCAGGUACUCUGUUAGACGUUCCGGCGGGGGGGAAAGCAAGCUGGAGUCCUUUAAAUAGAGUAAGAGUGACGUCACUGAAACGCCACGCCCAGAGGGCCUCAUCCGGGCUUUCCACCGUGGCUAGAGACUCCUUAAAGCAAUAGGGACAAAUUUACGCCUCCAAGGGAAAAGGACUUAAACAGCGGCAAGGAAGAACUUCCCCGCUGCGCCUUGAGACACUAGAUUCUCAGAAUCACUAGCAGUCCAGACGAUGAGGCCCACCCACGAGACGGAUAGUGGGAGGUAAUCUCAUGGCAGUGGGGAAGACCCAGGACUGGGAUACAUUACCCGAGGACACAGUUCAUCUUGCCUACCAGCCUGCUAAUUAAUAUUUUC
ensembl:lncRNA